rnacentral:rRNA from 1 species
AGGACGAACGCUGGCGGCGUGCCUAAAACAUGCAAGUCGAACGAGGUAGCAAUAUCUAGUGGCGAACGGCGGAGUAAUACAUGAACAACGUGCCCUAAAGUCCGGGACAAACGCAGAAAUGUCAUAAAUACCGGAUGUGGUGGAGAGAUGGCAUCAUCAUUCCAUUAAAUGGUUUUUCGCUUUAGGAGCGGUUCAUGGCCUAUCAGGUAGUUGGUGGGGUAAUGGCCUACCAAGCCGACGACAGGUAGCGGGUCUGAGAGGAUGAUCCGCUCGAGUGGGACUGAGACACGGCCCACACACCUACGGGUGGCAGCAGUUGGGAAUCUUGCACAAUGGGGGAAACCCUGGAUGCAGCGACGCCGCGUGAGGAUGACGGAUCUAGGUCUGUAAACUCCUUUUCAUGGAAAGUACUUAGGACGUUACCAUGAGAAUAAGGACCGCUAACUCGUGACCAGCAGCCCGA